rnacentral:rRNA from 1 species
AGCGAACAUUGGCGGUAGGCUUAACACAUGCAAGUCGAGCGAAGCGUAAUAGUCGAGCGGCGAACGGGUGCGUAAUACAUGGGAAUCUACCUCGAAGUGGGGGAUAACGUCCAGAAAUGGACGCUAAUACCGCAUAAUCCAUAUCGGGAAAGCGUUGCAGCGCUUUGAGAUGAGCCCAUGGCUGAUUAGCUUGUUGGUGAGGUAACGGCUCACCAAGGCGACGAUCAGUAGCUGGUCUGAGAGGAUGACCAGCCACACUGGAACUGAGACACGGUCCAGACUCCUACGGGAGGCAGCAGUGGGGAAUCUUGCGCAAUGGGGGCAACCCUGACGCAGCCAUACCGCGUGAGUGAUGAAGGUCUUCGGAUUGUAAAGCUCUUUCGGCAGGGACGACGAUGACGGUACCUGCAAAAGAAGUCACGGCUAACUUCGUGCCAGCCGCCGCGGUAA